UGGGGAAUCUUGCGCAAUGCGCGAAAGCGUGACGCAGCAACGCCGCGUGGGGGAAGACGGCCUUCGGGUUGUAAACCCCUUUCAGGAGGGACGAAGGUUCACCGGUGAAUAGCCGUGUGGAUUGACGGUACCUCCACAAGAAGCUCCGGCUAACUACGUGCCAGCAGCCGCGGUAAUACGUAGGGAGCAAGCGUUGUCCGGAAUCAUUGGGCGUAAAGCGCGCGUAGGUGGCCUCAUAAGUCCGCUGUGAAAGUCAAAGGCUCAACCUUUGAAAGCCGGUGGAUACUGUGGGGCUAGAGUACGGAAGAGGCGAGUGGAAUUCCUGGUGUAGCGGUGGAAUGCGCAGAUAUCAGGAGGAACACCAAUAGCGAAGGCAGCUCGCUGGGACGUUACUGACACUAAGGCGCGAAAGCGUGGGGAGCGAACA
rnacentral:rRNA from 1 species